GCGGCCGACGGAGAGCUGCAGCGCCGCGGGCCGGCGGCGGGGAUGGAGGGCGGCGGGGAUGGAGGGCAGAGCUCGGCGGGAGGCUCCGGCUCCGGGGGGACUGCGGGGACAGGAGGUGAAGGGACGGAGUAUCAGUGGUAUCCAUGGGGGUACUUAAGGAAGGAAAAAAGUUAUUGCUUGUACUGUGCGAAUGGAGGGGCGUAAUGUCUUUAAAGGAGCAGGUAGGAUCAGUCUGGCUCUGCGGAAGGCAUUAUGCUAUGUUUAGUGUGUAACCAUUUGUUCUUUUUAUUUUUUAUUUUUCCCCCGUACAUCCAGACUUAAAGAAAACUCAUAUUGGCUUGUACCAUCAGCGCUGCACUUCAGAGGUUCACCACCUUUCCACUGGUGAUAUAUGUAAUCAACGAUGGCACUUCUUAUGUACGGGUGUUUCUCUUUUUCCUUUUUGUGAAUACCCUUUUAUCAGGAGCAGUGCGAAGCUGAUGCUGUGGUGCUUUGUGCUGUAUUCCCCAUGUAUGUUUGUACUGCAGGCAGUUAAAGGAUUAUCCAAACCUUGUCUCCUGCCUUCAUGAGAACGACUUCAGUGGGUUUAUAGUUCUAAGACUGUUGUGCUGAUGGUCUGAUCAAAAGCUCUGGGCUUAACCAAGCCUGAUGGACCUCCGAUAAAAGUGAGUCUUUCAGAAUACAGCUGAAGAACUUUGAGUUUUCAGAAAGGAAUCUGGAAACAAUGGUUUCUACCAACAGUUUAUUUUCCUUUUUUAAAAGGGUAACUUUGGAAAGUUUUUCCUACUUUCUUAUUUUUCUCAUGCUUGCCCCAUGAGCCAAAUAGAACUAGAAGCGUGUUUGGUUUUUUUUAACCGUACAUCUGAAUAAAAUGGUCAACAGAUUAAUUCAUAAAGUAGAAUUUUACUGCUCUAAAUGUAACAAAAGAAAUGUAGUGACCCUGCCUAUGUGUAUGUCUUAAGCCUUUAGUGAACCUAAGCCUUAAAUGUAUGUAGUCUUGCCAUCACUUCUGUUUUCUUCAAAAAUACACUGUUUGGCAUGAAAUCGGGGCACAGGAGUAUAAUAGCAGACGAUUCUCUUCACGCUGAAGUCAAGAAGAGUUCUGGUGUUGCCUGCAGUCGAGUUGUGAUCUUCAGAGGAGGAGCUUCCAGGAGAAGCUGAGAUAUUUGAAUAGUAGGAAAGCCUGGUACGUAAAAGUGCUUCUCAGGGACAGUUUAGGCAAGGCAUCUUUUUUUUUUUUAACCUACUGCUGUAACUCAGAACAAGUUAGGCAAGGUUAAUUACAGUGUAAUAGGGUUUAAUUUAGCUGGGAAUGAGGGUAUGGUGGCUGCUAGCAGUGUUUCUCAAACUGUGAGGCUGGCCUCCUUAGGCAAGCUUACACAAGCCCAAGGCAAAUGGAAAAACACAUUUUUGUCUGGGACUUGGCAAAGGUGGAACCCCCACAUCUAUUAAUGAUGAUUCCUCAUUUGCCAAGGCAAAAAUUGAAAUGUUCUCCCAAGGAAAAGAUUAAUGACCUGUCCCACUUAAGGGUCGGAUGAUUCAAUACCAUUCUGUCUCAGUUCUAAUAUAUGGCACUCAUUAUCACAGUCUCUGAGCACCUCCCAAAUAUUUAAAAAGAAAUAACACUAGUGUUCUGUACACACAGUUCUCAUUAAAUUCAGUGGGUGUUGUGAAUGUUUAAACACAGCAAAGCAGAACCCUGAAGAGUUGGAAAUAGACUUGCAAAACACACUGUGGGUUUGAUCCACAGCUGGCUUGAAUCGGCCCAACUCUGUUAACUUGAGGGGAGUUGCACUGAUUUACAUCAGCUGGGGUUUAACCCGGUGCUUUUCUGCCUGGUGCCAUCUCCAGCUGAUAAGCCUGAUUCUCCUAUCUGGCUCUAUCUAAACUCGUUGCUGAUUUCAGUGGCAACAUGAGCUGUUUAAGGAAGUGUUUCCUGCUUCCAAGGCAUUAGUAUUGCUCUUCAUAGCAUGGUUCAAGAUCAUCUCUACCUAGACAAUAUCUGCUUUCCCAGUAGCUGGUCCACGUGUCCCUUUCCUCUGUUUGUUGCCUGCUGGUUCAGGAUGGCCCAGAGAUACAAGUGCAAGGGCUGUGAGGGCUGAAGUUUCCCUUUAUGGUCUUUACUGUCUGCCCCACAAAUCAAUCCCACCCAGCAGACCUGAUGAAAAUAAAGCACCUUGGUGAUGUGGCACCUUUCAAGCAUGGUACCUUGUAGGGCAGGGGCAUAUCCCACCUGUGUGGGGCGGAAUGGUGGAGCUGAGGUGUGGGAGGAGACUUCGCACAGCAAGCCCUGGGCUCGCCCGAGGCAGUGACAGCGGGAACCGGGCACGGGCCGGCACCCGCCCCCCCCCCGGAGGCCCGGCUGAACAGACGAUUGAUCGGACUUUCACCGCCGGCACUAUGAAGCGGGAUAAUGCCUUUGUC